rnacentral:rRNA from 1 species
AUUGAACGCUGGCGGCAGGCUUAGCACAUGCAAGUCGAGGGGUAUAGGUUUUCGGACCUAGAGACCGGCGCACGGGUGCGUAACGCGUAUGCAAUCUACCUUUCACAGAGGGAUAGCCCAGAGAAAUUUGGAUUAAUACCUCAUAGUAUGUAUGAGUGGCAUCAUUUGUACAUUAAAGUCACAGCGGUGAAAGAUGAGCAUGCGUCCCAUUAGCUAGUUGGUAUGGUAACGGCAUACCAAGGCUACGAUGGGUAGGGGUCCUGAGAGGGAGAUCCCCCACACUGGUACUGAGACACGGACCAGACUCCUACGGGAGGCAGCAGUGAGGAAUAUUGGUCAAUGGGCGCAAGCCUGAACCAGCCAUGCCGCGUGCAGGAUGACGGUCCUAUGGAUUGUAAACUGCUUUUGUACGGGAAGAGACACUCCUACGUGUAGGAACUUGACGGUACCGUAAGAAUAAGGAUCGGCUAACUCCGUGCCAGCAGCCGCAGUAAAAC